AACGAACGCUGGCGGCAUGCCUAACACAUGCAAGUCGAACGGGAUCCAGGCUUCGGCCUGGUGAGAGUGGCGGACGGGUGAGUAACGCGUGGGAACCUGCCCAAUGGUCUGGGAUAACCGCGGGAAACUGCGGCUAAUACCGGAUAAGCCCGAGAGGGGAAAGAUUUAUCGCCGAUGGAGGGGCCCGCGUCCGAUUAGGUAGUUGGUGGGUAAUGGCCUACCAAGCCUACGAUCGGUAGCUGGCUGAGAGGAUGAUCAGCCACACUGGGACUGAGACACGGCCCAGACUCCUACGGGAGGCAGCAGUAGGGAAUCGUUGCGCAAUGGGCGAAAGCCUGACGCAGCCAUGCCGCGUGAAUGAUGAAGGUCUUAGGAUUGUAAAUUACUUUCACCGGGGAAGAUAAUGACGGUACCCGGAGAAGAAGCCCCGGCUAACUUCGUGCCAGCAGCCGCAGUAA
rnacentral:rRNA from 1 species